UACGUAGGGGGCUAGCGUUGUCCGGAAUCAUUGGACGUAAAGAGCGUGUAGGCGGCCCGGUAAGUCCGCUGUGAAAGUCGGGGGCUCAACCCUCGAAUGCCGGUGGAUACUGUCGGGCUAGAGUGCGGAAGAGGCGAGUGGAAUUCCUGGUGUAGCGGUGAAAUGCGCAGAUAUCAGGAAGAACACCCGUGGCGAAAGCGGCUCUCUGGAACGGUACUGACGCUGAGACGCGAAAGCGUGGGGAGCGAACAGG
rnacentral:rRNA from 1 species